rnacentral:rRNA from 1 species
CGUUAGCGGCGGACGGGUGAGUAACACGUGGGUAACCUACCUAUAAGACUGGGAUAACUUCGGGAAACCGGAGCUAAUACCGGAUAAUAUUUCGAACCGCAUGGUUCGAUAGUGAAAGAUGGUUUUGCUAUCACUUAUAGAUGGACCCGCGCCGUAUUAGCUAGUUGGUAAGGUAACGGCUUACCAAGGCGACGAUACGUAGCCGACCUGAGAGGGUGAUCGGCCACACUGGNAACUGAGACACGGUCCAGACUCCUACGGGAGGCAGCAGAC